GAUCAACGUUAAUCGGAUCAGGGUUAGUCUGGUCCUUAGGAAAACCCGAAAGGGGCAUCUGAUGGAAAGCUAGUUAAUAUUCUAGCACCUACUAUGCAUUAAAAGUGACGCAGGGACGUGGUUGUUACGAACAGACGGAUGUUCGUUGAGUGGAACCUUCGGGGGAAGCGAAACAAUAAAAUCCCUGCCAAGAAAAGCGAGCAUAGCAGCCAGUACCGGAAUCCGACACAGGUAGACGGGAUGAGUAUUCUAAGGCGCUCGGGUGAGCCGCGGAGAAGGAACUAGGCAAAUUAACGCUGUAACUUCGGGAUAAAGCGUACCGCAGUGAUGCGGUCACAGUAAAUAGGUACAACCAACUGUUUAACAAAAACACAGGGCCCUGCAAAAACGUAAGUUGACGUAUAGAGCCUGAAACCUGCCCGGUGCUGGAAGGUUAAGGAAGGGUGUUCGUCGCAAGACAAAGCUCCUGACUGAAGCCCCAGUAAACGGCGGCCGUAACUAUAACGGUCCUAAGGUAGCGAAAUUCCUUGUCGGGUAAGUUCCGACCUGCACGAAUGGUCUAAUGAGUUGUACACUGUCUCCUCCGCGAGCCCGGUGAAAUUGUAGUAUCGGUGAAGAUGCCGGUUACCCGCCACGGGACGGAAAGACCCCGUGAACCUUCACUACAACUUUGCAUUGAUUUUGAACAACCGAUGUGUAGGAUAGUUGGGAGACUUUGAAGUGGCAUCGCCAGGUGUCAUGGAGUCAUCGUUGAAAUACCAACCUUCGUUUGUUUAGAACCUAAUCCCUAACGGGAGACAGUGCAUGGUGGGUAGUUUGACUGGGGUGGUCGCCUCCUAAAAAGUAACGGAGGCUCGCAAAGGUACCCUCAGUACGGUUGGUAAUCGUACGUAGAGCGCAUUAGUAAAAGGGUGCUUGACUGUGAGACAAACAAGUCGAGCAGGAGCGAAAGCUGGCUAAAGUGAUCCGGUGUUUCUGCAUGGAAGGGACAUCGCUCAAAGGAUAAAAGGUACUCCGGGGAUAACAGGCUGAUCUUACCCAAGAGCUCAUAUCGACGGUAAGGUUUGGCACCUCGAUGUCGGUUCGUCACAUCCUGGGGCUGGAGAAGGUCCCAAGGGUUCGGCUGUUCGCCGAUUAAAGUGGCACGUGAACUGGGUUCAGAACGUCGCAAGACAGUUCGGUCCCUAUCUGUGGUGGGCGUUAGUAAAUUGAGUGGACAUGCUCUUAGUACGAGAGGACCGGAGCGUACGUACCGCUGGUGUAUCUGUUAUGCCGCCAGGUGUAAUGCAGAGUAGCUAUGUACGGCCAGGAUAAACGCUGAAAGCAUCUAAGCGUGAAACCUUCCACAAGAUGAGUUUACUUUUAAGGGUCGUCAAAGACUAUGACGUUGAUAGGCUAUAGAUGUAAGGCUAGUAAUAGCGAAGUCGAGUAGUACUAAUUGCCCGUAAGCUUUAUUU
rnacentral:rRNA from 1 species